rnacentral:rRNA from 1 species
UACGAAGGGUGCUAGCGUUGUUCGGAAUCACUGGGCGUAAAGCGUGCGUAGGCGGCUUUGCAAGUCAGGGGUGAAAUCCCACAGCUCAACUGUGGAAUUGCCUUUGAAACUGCAUGGCUGGAGUAUUGGAGGGGUCAGGGGAAUUCCUAAUGUAGUGGUGAAAUACGUAGAGAUGUGGAGGAACACCAGUGGCGAAGGCGACUCUUUGGUCUGUAACUGACGCUGAGGCGCGAAAGCGUGGGGAGCAAACAGG